UACGUAGGGUGCAAGCGUUGUCCGGAAUUAUUGGGCGUAAAGCGCACGUAGGCGGCUUUGUAAGUUAGAGGUGAAAGCCCAGGGCUUAACCCUGGAAUUGCCUUUAAGACUGCAUCGCUAGAAUCGUGGAGAGGUAAGUGGAAUUCCGAGUGUAGAGGUGAAAUUCAUAGAUAUUCGGAAGAACACCAGUGGCGAAGGCGACUUACUGGACAGGUAUUGACGCUGAGGUGCGAAAGCGUGGGGAGCAAACAGG
rnacentral:rRNA from 1 species